AUUUAAAAGAUGACAGUAGUGCAUUUUGAUCUUGGUGGCAGCACUCAGUCUUCCAGAAGGUUUGCAUUACUCUUGUGCUCAAGUAUUCUUCAUAUUACAGAACCAUCUGAAUGUUCAUAAUUCAGAAAAGCUUUCAGUUAUGUUUUCAAAACUGGUUUGUUCUAUAGGCUUCCUUUAGACAUUGAGGUGCUUAAAAGAAGUUUCUGAUAAAACUCUAGUGAUUCAAAAGAGAAGCAUGGUAUUUAAUGUUUCUGUUAACAAAAUUAUUUUCAAAUUUGUAAAAGAAUGACCUUUUAAUUAGAGUUCUUUAGGCAGUUUUUCUUUUUGUUGUUAUUGUCAGAGUUUUAAAACUUGCUUUGGAAGUUUUCUAACACAUGUAUUUACCUUUCCUUCAAAGAUUGAAGAAUGAAAAGGCCUUGCGUCUCAACCUUGUUGGUGAAAAACUGCAAUGGUUUCAAAAUCAUCUUGAUCCCCAAAAAAAGAGAUAUUCAAAGAAAGAUGCUUGUGAACUAAUUGAAAGGUACCUAAAUCGAUUCAGCAGUGAGCUGGAGCAGAUUGAGUUACAUAACAGUAUCAGGGACAGGCAGGGGAGGCGGCACUGUUCCCGGGAGACCGUCAUCAAGCAGACGAUGGAGCGGGAGCGGGAGCAGUUUGAAGGAUAUGGCCUUGAGAUUCCAGACAUUCUAAAUGCAAGUAAUCUGAAAACAUUUAGGGAAUGGGACUUUGAUCUGAAGAAACUACCAAACAUUAAAAUGAGAAAAAUUUGCGCUAAUGAUGCAAUUCCCAAGAAGUGCAAGAGGAAAACUAUUAUAACUGUAGACCAAGAUUUGGGGGAAUUGGAA
rnacentral:sRNA from 1 species